rnacentral:rRNA from 1 species
GACGAACGCUGGCUGCGUGCUUAACACAUGCAAGUCGAACGGAAAGGCCCUGCUUGCAGGGUACUCGAGUGGCGAACGGGUGAGUAACACGUGGGUGAUCUGCCCUGCACUUCGGGAUAAGCCUGGGAAACUGGGUCUAAUACCGGAUAGGAGCCAUUUUUAGUGUGAUGGUUGGAAAGUUUUUUCGGUGUAGGAUGAGCUCGCGGCCUAUCAGCUUGUUGGUGGGGUAAUGGCCUACCAAGGCGGCGACGGGUAGCCGGCCUGAGAGGGUGGACGGCCACAUUGGGACUGAGAUACGGCCCAGACUCCUACGGGAGGCAGCAGUGGGGAAUAUUGCUCAAUGGGCGCAAGCCUGAUGCAGCGACGCCGCGUGGGGGAUGACGGCCUUCGGGUUGUAAACUCCUUUCGCUAGGGACGAAGCUUUUUGUGACGGUACCUAGAUAAGAAGCACCGGCUAACUACGUG